CAGCCGCCGCGGGAAUACGAAGGGGGCAAGCGUUGUUCGGAAUUAUUGGGCGUAAAGGGCGCGUAGGCGGUUUGACAAGUCUGAUGUGAAAUCUCUGGGCUCAACCCAGAGUCUGCAUCGGAAACUGUCGAGCUUGAGUAUGGGAGAGGUGAGUGGAAUUUCCGGUGUAGCGGUGAAAUGCGUAGAUAUCGGAAGGAACACCUGUGGCGAAAGCGGCUCACUGGACCAUUACUGACGCUGAGGCGCGAAAGCUAGGGGAGCAAACAGGAUUAGAGACCCCAGUAGUCCCUGUCUCUUAUAC
rnacentral:rRNA from 1 species